AUGGCCACGUGACCCAGGUAG
rnacentral:misc_RNA from 1 species